CUGCUGCCUCCCGUAGGAGUUUGGGCCGUGUCUCAGUCCCAAUGUGGCCGGCCACCCUCUCAGGUCGGCUACUGAUCGUCGCCUUGGUGGGCCGUUACCUCACCAACCAGCUAAUCAGACGCGGGUCCAUCUCAUACCACCGGAGUUUUUCACACCGGACCAUGCGGUCCUGUGCGCUUAUGCGGUAUUAGCAGUCAUUUCUAACUGUUAUCCCCCUGUAUGAGGCAGGUUACCCACGCGUUACUCACCCGUCCGCCG
rnacentral:rRNA from 1 species